rnacentral:rRNA from 1 species
UACUCGAGUGGCGAACGGGUGAGUAACACGUGGGUGAUCUGCCCUGCACUUCGGGAUAAGCCUGGGAAACUGGGUCUAAUACCGGAUAGGAGCCAUUUUUAGUGUGAUGGUUGGAAAGUUUUUUCGGUGUAGGAUGAGCUCGCGGCCUAUCAGCUUGUUGGUGGGGUAAUGGCCUACCAAGGCGGCGACGGGUAGCCGGCCUGAGAGGGUGGACGGCCACAUUGGGACUGUGAUACGGCCCAG